AGUGAUCAAAAACAUACAUAUAUUAAUAUAUUUUAAUAAUGUAAUUUAAUUACAAAUCUUAUAUAUAUACACACACACACAGACACACUUUUUCCUGUUUUAAGGUGUAAUUUUCCUUUUUUAAAUAAAUAAAUUUCCCCCAGUAUCAUUCGGAGGGCUUCUGUAAUAGGUUUUUCCUCCCGAGGGAUCAUAUUUCUGUUCUGCAAUAUUAACAGAAGCCUCUCGUGUAUCCUGAAGGAACGUUUGAAGACGUGACACACUCUUUGUUCUCUCGUUUAAUGAAGGAAGAUGGCGGCUGUAAACCUAAUAAUGAUCUUGUGAUUGACACUCCUGCUUUUAUUAAUCUAGCCAGUGUCCAGCGUAUUUGACUGAAAGGAUUUCAUAAAACGCAGGGCUGGUUUAGUGUUGAAUCUAUCUUUAUUUCAAGCCUCUUUUCUAAUGCUCCUGCCUCUGAGUUCAGAAGCAGACUCUCUCUCAGUGAGAGCAGGAUGAGUGAGCAGACAGUGUUCAGUGGUGUGAUGUCUGUCUGGUGAUUAAUGAACAAACAUUACUGUGAGUGAGAUUGACUGCUUCAUUCUGUCUCGUUGCUCAGCUGCAAACACCUGGACCGAGCGCUGAAAGACUCCAGGUACAGCGGCACGAGCUCCCGUCUCCUCCCAGAGUUCAGUGCGGUGUGUCAUGAUGUGCUUCAGUUCUGCAUGCUGCUCAUUUAUCAUCGAGGAUCUGGCUGUCCUUCCUCGAUUACCCCAGGAUCAGCAGGUACACGUGCUCCAGAUCUGAUUCAGUGCAGUCAGCACAUGAGUUAGUGUCCGGCUAACACUGCUGCUAUGACUUCAGUAACACCAAUCCCUGGCAGUGCAUAAACUGACUAAACGUGCACCUGGAAUACAAUGCAAGUCUCUGCUCACAUUAUGGGAGUAAAUGGGUGGCAAACAACUCACACCAGAUCAUGUCUCUAGCAACACCAGGGUCAUGGGUUCGAAUGCAUGAACUGAAAACAUGCAAGCUGCUUUGGAUAAACGCUUCUGUCAAAUGCAUAAAUGUAAUAAGCGACAUGUGUUCCAGGAUUCAGGAGGACGAGGUGUGUAACAGCAUCCAGCAGAGACGGCAGAUCUUCAGGCUGAAGGACAGUCGGUCGGGGAACAGCCUCCAAAGCAGCUCAGAGAACGAGGCCCAGUCUUCAGAGCCGCGGCCGUGGAGCAGCUCCAGCCUCAACCUGAAGCAUCCCGGUCCUGACCCGCGGAGACCGCUCCAGCAGCAGCAGGAGCGCGGGACGCCUCUCAAACACAGGUCAGCACUGCUGUCGUCUACAGUCCCAGCCUGA
ensembl:lncRNA